UGUGUACGUAUGCUACACGCAAUCGUAGUGCUUCACUAAGCCACAGUGCACUACAAAGUUAAGCAUGAGCGGUACACAAAAUUCACAAGUUCUUAGUAUUGCCAAGAACAACCAUUGCUUGGUGAAGUUCUCACAGGCGUUGUAGAAGUUGUUGGGCGCGGCAGUGCUGAACGUAGCGUUAGCGGCUUAAAUCGUGUUUUUUACUAGUAACAACGUGUCGCUAUUUCAUAUUAUUGGCGGCGUCUCCAGGACACCAAAUCGGUAACGGGGACACCAGAGCUAGAACGCGGACUGGUCCAUGGGUUGGGGCUCGCCGAGGCCUGCGCGUGCUAGUAGUAUAUCUUGAUGUCUGUAGGCUGUGUGUAAGUCGUACUUUCCGAAUUUUCUGACGCAUUUUAAGAUCAGCUGUCCGCUUUCACGGACAAGGCUGGAGUCAGGGUGGUCCGUGAGUUGGGGCAACAUAACCUGCUUCCAGUUUUGAUCCCUCCGCUGCGCCUUGGGUACCCUGCCGCCUCCUUGAUUAUAAUCUAAUGCUCUCCUGAGGCCUCUGUUUGCCGGUUACAUGUGCCCUUCUGGAGCACUACUUGUAAACGAAUCCGAUCUAUCGUCGCAACAAAAAAAGCGCCCCGCGACUUCUGCAACACCAGUCAGAACCUUGCCCAUUGGUUUACAUAUGUGUGGCCGCAAAUAUCUGAAACUUAAUGCCAGUUCAACAGGUUUGUUGGCAAGGGUGUCCGGUCGUUGCUUUGUGUUGAAUCGGCGUUUUCUCAAUUCUUAAGAAUUUAAUUGGAAUGCACCUGACCAAUGCUGCUUUGUGGUGCUUGCCACCAGUCCCUUGGACAGGGAAGACAUAUGAGAAUCCCUGUGCAUACACUUUAUACGCAGUGGUGUGACCGCUUCCUUUGGGAAACUACCACGUUAGCGAUAUUGUGAGCGCAAUGUGACUUUCCUUCAUCUUCCUCAUCCGUACGUAGUGUGUGUCGCUUCUUCCUCGUCAUAGCUCUAGCUCGGCAAGAAUAAAGCGGUUCCUUAGAAGUGGUGGAGGUGCUGGGGUUCUGCAUACCAAGGACGUAUAAGGUCACAAAGCUGCACCCAGGUAGAGGCAGAAUCCAAAAAUGCUUGUGUACUUCAACUAUAGCUGCACAUUACAGAAUCCGAGGCCCUCAAGAUUUAUCCGUAGCCCUCGUGUAGCCCACGAGUUCCAUAUUUUUUAUUGGGAUUGAAGAGUAACGUUUGUGCUGUAUCCCUCUAUUUCAGACUAAAUAAUGUGCAUGCAAAAUUAUAUCUUCAUUACUUUACACCAUUGCACCAAUAUCUGUUGUGCGUUGAUUUUCUGAUGUCCUUGCAUUUGCUAUAGCAAGGAUUUUUAAAAAUCAGCCACAAAAGAAAAAAUAAAUGGUCAAGGAACGAAGUGGUGUGUAGCAGCUCCCUUUUUUUUAAUCGGCGGCAAGUUUCGCACUCGUGUGUUAGCAACACUGUUUCGCCAGUUGUGUACUUCAAAAGAAGUGUUACCUUUCUGCUUUGGAACUUUGUGGUUUUGUUCUGCCAGCUGCUUGACCAACACAAGCAAAAUGUACUUUGGAUAUUCCACAAAUUCAUUCUGUAUGCAUUUGGUACAAUAAAAUUUGUUUCAAGAAUGGACAAA